UACGAGCGGUCCAAACGUUAUUCGGAAUCACUGGGCUUACAGAGUUCGUAGGCGGUACGGAAAGUGGGGUGUGAAAGCCCUCGGCUCAGCCGAGGAACUGCGCUCCAAACUACCGUGCUAGAGGAAGAUAGAGGUGAGCAGAACUGAUGGUGGAGCGGUGAAAUGCGUUGAUAUCAUCAGGAAUACCGGAGGCGAAGGCGGCUCACUGGGUCUUUUCUGACGCUGAGGAACGAAAGCUAGGGGAGCAAACGGG
rnacentral:rRNA from 1 species